rnacentral:rRNA from 1 species
CGGAGAGGGAGCAUGAGAAACGGCUACCACAUCUAAGGAAGGCAGCAGGCGCGUAAAUUACCCAAUCCUGACUCAGGGAGGUAGUGACAAGAAAUAGCAAACCGGGAACCUCAUGGUUUCACGGUAUUGCAAUGAGGACAAUUUAAAACCCUUAGCGAGAAUCAAGUGGAGGACAAGUCUGGUGCCAGCACCCGCGGUAAUUCCAGCUCCACUAGCGUAUAUUAAAGUUGUUGCAGUUAAAAAGCUCGUAGUUGAACCUCUGUCUGGGGCUAGUUUUGGCUUUGGUCAGGCUAGUUCUAGGCAUCCGCCUACAAGACUUAGAGGGCAUUCAGUUGUUCACUAGGAGGAGUAGGCAUUUUACUUUGAAAAAAUUAGAGUGUUUAAGGCAGGCAAUCGCCCGCAUAUAUUAGCAUGGAAUAAUAGAAUAGGACACUUUUCCAUUUCGUUGGUUAUUGGAAUCGUGUAAUGAUUAAUAGGGACAGUUGUGGGCAUUUGUAUUUAAUUGUCAGAGGUGAAAUUCUUGGAUUUAUUAAAGACAAACUAACGCGAAAGCAUCUGCCAAGGAUGUUUUCAUUAAUCAAGAACGAAAGUUAGGGGAUCAAAGACGAUCAGAUACCGUCCUAGUCUUAACUAUAAACUAUCCCGACUCAAUGUUUGACUGGCUUAUAUAACCAGUUGAGCGUUGUAUGAGAAAUCAAAGUCUUUAGGUUCUGGGGGGAGUAUGGUUGCAAAGCUGAAACUUAAAGGAAUUGACGGAAGAGCACAACCAGGAGUGGAUUCUGCGGCUUAAUUUGACUCAACACGGGGAAACUUACCAGGUUAAAACAAUAGUGGGAUUGACAGUUUGAGAGCGCUUUCUUGAUUGGUUGGGUGGUGGUGCAUGGCCGUUCUUAGUUGGUGGAGUGAUUUGUCUGCUUAAUUGCGUUAACGAACGAGACCUUAACCUGCUUACUAGACUGGCGAUCAUCAAUCGUUAGCUCUUCUUAGAGGGACUUUGGUUGUUUUAACUCCAAGGAAGUUUGAGGCAAUAACAGGUCUGUGAUGCCCUUAGAUAUCCUGGGCCGCACGCGUCAUACAAUGACUAGUUCAGAAAGUUUUCUCCUGACCCGAAAGGGGAUGGGUAAUCUUGAUAAUACUAGUCGUGUUAGGGAUCGAUCUUUGCAAUUAUAGAUCUUGAACGAGGAAUUCCUAGUAAGUGCGGUUCAUCAGACCGUACUGAUUACGUCCCUGCUCUUUGUACACACCGCCCGUCGCUUCUACCGAGUGGGUGGUCCGGUGAGAUAAUUGAACUUCGCAGGUAACUGAGAGGAAAGAUUAUCAAACCUAUCCACCUCGAGGAAGAAGAAGUCGUAACAAGGUU